rnacentral:rRNA from 1 species
UACGAAGGGGGCUAGCGUUGUUCGGAAUUACUGGGCGUAAAGCGUGCGUAGACGGUAAUGUAAGUCAGAUGUGAAAGCCCCGGGCUCAACCUGGGAAUUGCAUUUGAGACUGCUCUGCUCGGGUGCGGAAGAGGGAAGCGGAAUUUCCGGUGUAGCGGUGAAAUGCGUAGAUAUCGGAAGGAACACCAGUGGCGAAAGCGGCUUCCUGGUCCGACACCGACGUUCAGGCACGAAAGCGUGGGGAGCAAACAGG